ensembl:lncRNA
CUUCCAGAUCGUUCAUCACCGGUGUCCCUCUCUCUUCGUCUUUCACCGCAGACAGAUAUACUGAUGCUGAGCACUGGACAUGCAGAGACAAGGGUUGUGUUGUUUUUGAAGAGGAACACGGUCUGUCUGUCCACCAGCAGGUGAAGGAGACAAAGAAGAGUUGUAGCAUUCAUCCUCAUGUCUGAGUGAAGAAUAACCACACGGUGUGUUGACAGAGAACUGUUCACUGAAAGGUUCUUUUGGAGGAAGUCCUUCUAUGUCAAGAAAACCCCCUUUUAAGAAUGGAAUCAUAGACCAAUCAAACACAGAGGCAGCAGUAUGGACGUGAUAUUCGAGAGUUGUUGGGAGGAUGUUAUGCUUCCUGUGCGAAUCGACUUCUGACCCAGUCCAUCCUCUCUACCUGGAGCCAGACCACGUCUCCACUUUUCCUCUCUUCUCUUUUCUCACUAUACUGUAGCUCCUUCCAACAAACAUAACUGUUGCCUUAGUGCUGCAUGACUGACUUGCCAGCUAAGACUUUUCUCCUGAGCGCCACUGUAUAAAAUCUGCUAUUCUCUGCACCCACGGUCUCUCAUCUGCUCUAAUGUGGGCUGACGCCCCCCUCUUUGAAGUCUAUGGGUGCUGUGAACCUGGGCCCACCCAACAAAAGCAGGCUGAUCCGUGGCUGACACUCCAGCAGACCCACUUAUGCUGACAUAGGAUUGGAAAAAAGACAAGGCCUUUUUUUCCUAAGAAGCUUUCUUUCACGCUAGAGCUUCUCCUGAGACCUGAGACAGUUUGACGUCAGAAUUUGAUUUGUUUCAUUGGUGUCAAAGCAAUAUGUAUCAAGUUGUGAAAUUGAACUGCUUUAGAUCAUAUCAAAUAAAUAUCCUUCAGCAAGCAGCUUGCAUUCUUUACAUUUCUUGCGAUGCAUCCAUGGUAUAGAGAUGCAAUGUGCAUGUAAAGUUUUGGUGGUUAAUCCAGUGGGAAUAAUUAUAUGGAUAUGUACUGUAAUUAUAUGGAUGUGUGAACCUGUUCAUAAAAUCUGAGUAGCAGACC